rnacentral:rRNA from 1 species
GACGAACGCUGGCGGCGUGCUUAACACAUGCAAGUCGAACGGAAAGGCCCUGCUUUUGUGGGGUGCUCGAGUGGCGAACGGGUGAGUAACACGUGAGUAACCUGCCCUUGACUUUGGGAUAACUUCAGGAAACUGGGGCUAAUACCGGAUAGGAGCUCCUGCUGCAUGGUGGGGGUUGGAAAGUUUCGGCGGUUGGGGAUGGACUCGCGGCUUAUCAGCUUGUUGGUGGGGUAGUGGCUUACCAAGGAUUUGACGGGUAGCCGGCCUGAGAGGGUGACCGGCCACAUUGGGACUGAGAUACGGCCCAGACUCCUACGGGAGGCAGGAGUGGGAAUAUUGCACAAUGGGCGGAAGCCUGAUGCAGCAACGCCGCGUGCGGGAAGACGGCCUUCGGGUUGUGAACCGCUUUCGCCUGUGACGAAGCGUGAGUGACGGUAAUGGGUAAAGAAGCACCGGCUAACUACGUG